rnacentral:lncRNA from 1 species
AUGGGGGAGCUCCGCGCACGGCGCGUCCGGGGGGCUGCGGCCCCGCGGGUGGGCGAGGGUCGGUGCUGCCCGAUGGGCGGAGGGGCACGGGGGGCACCGGGGGGCGUGGGGGGAAAGCAGAGGAGGAGGGCAAAGUUUGGCCCCGGGCACAGAGUCGCAGAACUUCCCCAUCCGGGCCGGGCGCUGGCGGUGAUGCUCACCGGGAAGUCCCAGCGUCCGCGCUGCGCUCCCUCUCCCCGUGCCGUGCCGUCGCUUUGCCUUUCAGCGCGGAUAACUGCCUGGAAGCCGGCAGGACCGUGCGAGCGGCUCCCAUCACCGGGCAGCGGGCGCAGCUCCGAGCGGUGCCGCUCUUCAACCCCCGCAGGUGGCAGCGGGGCCGCGCGUGGGAGCGGGCGUUGCUCAGCGCUCGGCACCACGCGCGGGUGCUGCCAGGAGGCAGCGAUCGCUGGGGAAGCUCCGGAGCAGCCGCUUGAAUUCCUCUCGAGGACGCAGCGCGGUGCCGGGAUGCAGGGAGGGCUGAGCCGGGCCGGGAGGUGCAGCAGCUGCCGGCUGUGGGGUUGGCUGUGGGGUUGGCUCCUGGGCUGUUGCUGCUCCUUGUUGCUGCGAGGCAUCGACAGCGCGCAUCGGCAAAGCAGGGGCAGCGCGGUCCCCUCCCCGCCGAGAUUCCAUCCCUCAUCUCCUCCAUCUCCUCCGUCUCUGGCCGGGCAGAAAGCCUUGCCAAAGCUGUCGGGUAGGAGGUUUGAUCCCCACAGAAGCCAGGAGCUUUUCUUAGCAUCCCUGAAAGUGCUUUUUUCCUGGAUAAAAUCGGGCUUUUCUUUGAGAAAUCAGCUGGACGCCCAGAUGUGUCCAGUUUGUAAGCCUGGGGGCCAUGCGGCCAUCAGGCAGCAGCAGGCAGCUCUGCAGCCGCUCGCAAUGCCCGCGCAUGGCAGCGGGGUGGCACAGCACUGCCCAUCCCUGCCGCAGCCCUCAGAUGGGCAGCAGUGGUACCCCAGUGUCCCACUGCAGGACCUGGGGGCACAGUGUGUGUGUGUGAGGGUCGCUCCUGACCUCGGAUCCCCCCCGAUUCCCUCCUCUCCAGGCAAAGCCCCCGGAGAUGUCAGACCUGGCACAGUGCUGCUCUGUUCUUCGGUGCCGGCACUGAUGCUCAGUGUUUUGUUGCAUCCCGGCACUCAUUGCCCUCAGGACUCCACUCUCUCGCUAACCAGUUCAGCAUCACUCUAUCAUCCUUCAUCCCCACUUACACCACUGGCAUCCCAGAGUCUCCUUAUGUCACUGCUGUGA